CAAGUAGGGGCUUAGAAUCGGUGCAUCUCAUUUUAAAAGCAACCUCAUCUCAUCUAGUUGUUUUAGUGUUUGUAUUGUAUUCAUAUGUUCGACUAAUAAGAAUUUUGAGGGAAUAUGUUGAGGAAUAUUAGCACCGUUCUUAAAUUAAUGAAUUGGAUCAUUCAAAUGAUACUAAACCAAUAUCAUAAAAAGUUGGAAAAUUCUAUACGUACAUAACUCAUUCCGGAAUCUUGUACAGUCGGCUAAUGUGGCGGUAAUUUGAAUUCAAAAAAAGUUACAAACUGGUCAAAAUAUCAUCUGAUAAUUUACAAAAACUAUUUUUGAAAACAAAUUCAGUCACGCACACAAACAAAUUCACUCUCUCUCUCUAACCCUCAAUUUAGUCGUCGCUGAUGAAGAUGUCCUUCAAAUCACCAGUUAAGAUGUUGAACGUACAAAUCUAGGAGAAUGGGAAAGAUGACGGCAUCACGAAUUCGGCCAAUGAAGUUUUUUUUUCUCUCUGUCUAACCCUGAAUUUAGUCUUCGCCGAUGAAGAUGUCCUUCAAAUCGUUGGUGAAGAUCUCGAACGAACAAAUCUAGGAGAACGAGUAG
rnacentral:lncRNA from 1 species